rnacentral:rRNA from 1 species
CCUACGGGCGGCUGCAGUGGGGAAUAUUGGACAAUGGGCGAAAGCCUGAUCCAGCCAUGCCGCGUGUGUGAAGAAGGCCUUCGGGUUGUAAAGCACUUUCAGUGGGGAAGAAAGCCUUGGGGCUAAUACCCUCGAGGAAGGACAUCACCCACAGAAGAAGCACCGGCUAACUCCGUGCCAGCAGCCGCGGUAAUACGGAGGGUGCGAGCGUUAAUCGGAAUUACUGGGCGUAAAGCGCGCGUAGGCGGUCUGAUAAGCCGGUUGUGAAAGCCCCGGGCUCAACCUGGGAACGGCAUCCGGAACUGUCAGGCUAGAGUGCAGGAGAGGAAGGUAGAAUUCCCGGUGUAGCGGUGAAAUGCGUAGAGAUCGGGAGGAAUACCAGUGGCGAAGGCGGCCUUCUGGACUGACACUGACGCUGAGGUGCGAAAGCGUGGGUAGCAAACAGGAUUAGAUCCCCUGGUAGUC